UACGGAGGGUGCAAGCGUUAUCCGGAUUCACUGGGCUUAAAGGGUGCGUAGGUGGGCACGUAAGUCAGUGGUGAAAUCUCCGGGCUUAACCCGGAAACUGCCAUUGAUACUAUUUGUCUUGAAUACUGUGGAGGUCAGCGGAAUAUGUCAUGUAGCGGUGAAAUGCUUAGAUAUGACAUAGAACACCAAUUGCGAAGGCAGCUGGCUACACAAAUAUUGACACUGAGGCACGAAAGCGUGGGGAUCAAACAGG
rnacentral:rRNA from 1 species